AGCGAACGCUGGCGGCAGGCUUAACACAUGUAAGUCGAACGGUCCUUCGGGAUAGUGGCGGACGGGUGAGUAACACGUGGGAACGUACCCUUAGGUUCGGAACAACACAGGGAAACUUGUGCUAAUACCGGAUAAGCCCUUCGGGGGAAAGAUUUAUCGCCUUUGGAGCGGCCCGCGUCUGAUUAGCUUGUUGGUGAGGUAAUGGCUCGACAAGGCUACGAUCAGUAGCUGGUCUGCGAGGAUGGCCAGCCACACUGGGACUGAGACACGGCCCAGACUCCUACGGGAGGCAGCAGUGGGGAAUCUUGCGCAAUGGGCGAAAGCCUGACGCAGCCAUGCCGCGUGGAUGAUGAAGGUCUUAGGAUUGUAAAAUCCUUUCACCGGGGACGAAAAUGACGGUACCCGGAGAAGAAGCCCCGGCUAACUACGUGCCAGCCGCCGCCGUAA
rnacentral:rRNA from 1 species